GAUGAACGCUGGCGGCGUGCCUAAUACAUGCAAGUAGAACGCUGAAGGAGGAGCUUGCUCUUCUGGAUGAGUUGCGAACGGGUGAGUAACGCGUAGGUAACCUGCCUGGUAGCGGGGGAUAACUAUUGGAAACGAUAGCUAAUACCGCAUGACAACAGUUAUUGCAUGAUAACUGUUUAAAAGGGGCAACUGCUCCACUACCAGAUGGACCUGCGUUGUAUUAGCUAGUUGGUGAGGUAACGGCUCACCAAGGCGACGAUACAUAGCCGACCUGAGAGGGUGAUCGGCCACACUGGGACUGAGACACGGCCCAGACUCCUACGGGAGGCAGCAGUAGGGAAUCUUCGGCAAUGGACGGAAGUCUGACCGAGCAACGCCGCGUGAGUGAAGAAGGUUUUCGGAUCGUAAAGCUCUGUUGUAAGAGAAGAAAGAGUGUGAGAGUGGAAAGUUCACACUGUGACGGUAUCUUACCAGAAAGGGACGGCUAACUACGUG
rnacentral:rRNA from 1 species